rnacentral:rRNA from 1 species
AGGACGAACGCUGGCGGCGUGCUUAACACAUGCAAGUCGAACGGUGAUCUUGGGAGGUUGCUUCCGGGUGAUCAGUGGCGAACGGGUGAGUAACACGUGAGUAACCUGCCCUUCACUCUGGGAUAAACUCCGGGAAACCGGGGCUAAUACUGGAUAUGACUCGAACAGGCAUCUGUAUCGGGUGGAAAGAUUUAUCGGUGGGGGAUGGACUCGCGGCCUAUCAGCUUGUUGGUGAGGUAAUGGCUCACCAAGGCGACGACGGGUA